AUUGAACGCUGGCUGCAGGCCUAACACAUGCCAGUCGAGCGGAGCGGCGGACGGGUGAGUAAUGCCUAGGAAUCUGCCUGGUAGUGGGGGAUAACGUCCGGAAACGGGCGCUAAUACCGCAUACUAUCAGAAGAGCCUAGGUCGGAGUAGCUAGUUGGUGGGGUAAAGGCCUACCAAGGCGACGAUCCGUAACUGGUCUGAGAGGAUGAUCAGUCACACUGGAACUGAGAUACGUUCCAGAUCCCUACGGGAGGCAGGAGUGUGGAAUAUUGGACAAUGGGCGAAAGCCUGAACCAGUCAUGCCGCGUGUGUGAAGAAGUUCUUCGGAUUGUAAAGCACUUUAAGUUGGGAGGCGUUACCAACAGAAUAAGCACCGGCUAACUUCGUGCCAGCAGCCGCGGUAAUA
rnacentral:rRNA from 1 species